rnacentral:lncRNA from 1 species
UCCAGCUAGCUUUCCCUUGAAGAGCCUUGUCUUUUUCAUAAUAAUAUCACAUCCCAAGCUCGGAGAAAUGAUACACUAUUUAAUUUAUUUAAUCUUAUGGUUCCAUCUAACUUUCAAGUUAGACUGCCUACAUACCCUGCAAAGGGAUCAAGGCAAUCGUAGUGCAUUCUUAAUGCAAGAAAUUCAACAUAUACUACGCA